AUUGAACGCUGGCGGCAUGCCUUACACAUGCAAGUCGAACGGUAACAGGUCUUCGGAUGCUGACGAGUGGCGAACGGGUGCGUAAUACAUCGGAACGUGCCCAGACGUGGGGGAUAACGAGGCGAAAGCUUUGCUAAUACCGCAUACGAUCUAAGGAUGACAGCAGGGGGCCGAAAGGCUUGGGGCGUUUGGGGCGGCCGAUGGCAGAUUAGGUAGUUGGUGGGAUAAAAGCUUACCAAGCCGACGAUCUGUAGCUGGUCUGAGAGGACGACCAGCCACACUGGGACUGAGACACGGCCCAGACUCCUACGGGAGGCAGCAGUGGGGAAUUUUGGACAAUGGGCGAAAGCCUGAUCCAGCAAUGCCGCGUGCAGGAUGAAGGCCUUCGGGUUGUAAACUGCUUUUGUACGGAACGAAAAGGCUCUGGCUAAUACCUGGGGCACAUGACGGUACCGUAAGAAUAAGCACCGGCUAACUACGUG
rnacentral:rRNA from 1 species